rnacentral:tRNA from 1 species
UCGCCCUCGUUCACGGUGGCAGCGGGUGGGCCUCGCUCGGGGCGGGGAUCGGGUCCGUUCUCGCUCGGGGCGGGAGCGGUCCGUCUUCGCUCGGGGCGGG